GUCGCACCUACCGAUUGGAUGGUCCGGUGAAGCCUCGGGAUUGUGGUUUGGCUCCUUCAUUGGGGCCUGGCCGCGAGAACUUGUCUAAACCUUAUCAUUUAGAGGAAGGUG
rnacentral:rRNA from 1 species